rnacentral:rRNA from 1 species
UACGUAGGGUGCGAGCGUUGUCCGGAAUUACUGGGCGUAAAGAGCUCGUAGGUGGUUUGUCGCGUCGUCUGUGAAAUUCCGGGGCUUAACUUCGGGCGUGCAGGCGAUACGGGCAAUACUUGAGUGCUGUAGGGGAGACUGGAAUUCCUGGCGUAGCGGUGGAAUGCGCAGAUAUCAGGAGGAACACCGAUGGCGAAGGCAGGUCUCUGGGCAGUAACUGACGCUGAGGAGCGAAAGCAUGGGUAGCGAACAGGAUUAGA